rnacentral:rRNA from 1 species
GAUGAACGCUGGCGGCGUGCCUAAUACAUGCAAGUCGAGCGAACAGACGAGGAGCUUGCUCCUCUGACGUUAGCGGCGGACGGGUGAGUAACACGUGGAUAACCUACCUAUAAGACUGGGAUAACUUCGGGAAACCGGAGCUAAUACCGGAUAAUAUAUUGAACCGCAUGGUUCAAUAGUGAAAGACGGUUUUGCUGUCACUUAUAGAUGGAUCCGCGCCGCAUUAGCUAGUUGGUAAGGUAACGGCUUACCAAGGCAACGAUGCGUAGCCGACCUGAGAGGGUGAUCGGCCACACUGGAACUGAGACACGGUCCAGACUCCUACGGGAGGCAGCAGUAGGGAAUCUUCCGCAAUGGGCGAAAACCUGACGGAGCAACGCCGCGUGAGUGAUGAAGGUCUUCGGAUCGUAAAACUCUGUUAUUAGGGAAGAACAAAAGUGUAAGUAACUAUGCACGUCUUGACGGUACCUAAUCAGAAAGCCACGGCUAACUACGUG